GGUGAGGUGGCCGAGUGGUUGAAGGCACGGCUCUCGAAAAGCCGCAGAGGAGCAAUCCUCUCGUGAGUUCGAAUCUCACCCUCACCGCCA
rnacentral:tRNA from 1 species